UCUAGAACUCGAGAUAUGGGCAGAACACUGAAUAGUGUCUGGGCUGCAGGACAGAUUCGGACUUCUUUGUUGUUGCUACAAUUUGGACUUGAAAACGGCCUUGUUAAAUCUUGGGCUCCACAUGAAAGUUGUAGGCCUAUGCCUUACCUUUCCAUC
rfam:Populus trichocarpa isolate Nisqually-1 chromosome 19, whole genome shotgun sequence.